CCUACGGGUGGCAGCAGUGGGGAAUAUUGCACAAUGGGGGAAACCCUGAUGCAGCGACGCCGCGUGAGUGAAGAAGUAUUUCGGUAUGUAAAGCUCUAUCAGCAGGGAAGAAAAUGACGGUACCUGACUAAGAAGCCCCGGCUAACUACGUGCCAGCAGCCGUGGUAAUACGUAGGGGGCCAGCGUUAUCCGGAUUUACUGGGUGUAAAGGGAGCGUAGACGGCCAGACAAGUCAGAAGUGAAAGGCCAGGGCUCAACCCUGGGACUGCUUGUGAAACUGCCGGGCUGGAGUGCAGGAGAGGUAAGCGGAAUUCCUGGUGUAGCGGUGAAAUGCGUAGAUAUUAGGAGGAACACCGGCGGCGAAGGCGGCAUGCUGGACUGAAACUGACGUUGAGGCUCGAAAGCGUGGGGAGCGAACAGGAUUAGAUACCCGUGUAGUC
rnacentral:rRNA from 1 species